GAUGAACGCUGGCGGCGUGCCUAAUACAUGCAAGUCGAGCGAACAGACGAGGAGCUUGCUCCUCUGACGUUAGCGGCGGACGGGUGAGUAACACGUGGAUAACCUACCUAUAAGACUGGGAUAACUUCGGGAAACCGGAGCUAAUACCGGAUAAUAUAUUGAACCGCAUGGUUCAAUAGUGAAAGACGGUUUUGCUGUCACUUAUAGAUGGCUCCGCGCCGCAUUAGCUAGUUGGUAAGGUAGCGGCUUACCAAGGCAACGAUGCGUAGCCGACCUGAGAGGGUGAUCGGCCACACUGGAACUGAGACACGGGCCAGACUCCUACGGGAGGCAGCAGUAGGGAAUCUUCCGCAAUAGGCGGAAGCCUGACGGAGCAACGCCGCGUGAGUGAUGAAGGUCUUCGGAGCGUAAAACUCUGUUAUUAGGGAAGAACAAAUGUGUAAGUAACUAUGCACGUCUUGACGGUACCUAAUCAGAAAGCCACGGCUAACUACGUG
rnacentral:rRNA from 1 species